CGCUGAUAACGAGUGAUGCAGCGGGGAAUGCUCAGACAACAGCUAAACAAAACUGUCUGCGACAAGGCGGCCAAGGUGUGGACACAAGUACAACAAUAAAAUAGAAAAUUAAAACAAUUAACAAGAAAUAUACGUUAAAGCAACAACAAUAAAUUAAACAAUACAAGUUUCAAAACAAACUGCUACAUCAACAAAUCGGCCAAAGUAAAUGACAACAAAAAAGUGAUGAUGAAAUCUUCACUUGGCCGAAAAUCAGCAGCGCAUCAGUUCGUAGGGCAUAUUUAUAAGCAUAUUGAAUGAGAGAUUGCUCACUCUUUUACAUGUAGGCCUGCUAAAUUGUGUUUGAAGUCGAAAUAGCACAAAGGAAUCGGAAGAAUUAAAGAAAUUGUGUUCGUAUCACCGCUAUUAAAUAAAGUCACGACGAGUUCCACAUAAAGAUUCAUUUAUAUUUACUUUCGUACUUAAGGCGUUUCAAGGCCGUGGUUAUAGUAAACUACAUACAUACACGUGUAUAAAUCUGCUUAUACAUACAUACAUAUUAUUAGGCUCAAUUCAUAAGUAUGUACAUACGUACACUGUAUAUGGGCAAACAAUGUGUGUAUAUAAUGUAGGGGUUUAUAAACAUUUUCAAGUGCGUAAUUUAAAUUCACGACAGCAACAUGUGCCAUAUAGAUGUUUAAAAAGGCCACGCUGUUAUUAUGGACAACUCAAAAUGCUCUCUUCAUAUGAAGUGUGCUAGUACUGAAGGCUAAUAUUAUCUACACAACUGUAGAAAUAUGCAUGUAUGUACAAAUGUAUAUACAUAUGUACUUAGAGGAAUAGUUCGAAAUCAUUCAGCACUUUUCGAAACGUUCUCACUAGCAUCAAGUAAAAUUUAGCAGGUAGAAAUUAUAGUAAAGCAAGUAGACGUCAUAUUUAUUUAACAUAGCAUGUGCUCGAAUAUAUACAAAUAUGUACAUAUGUACAUGUACUUCGUAUUUAACUUCAUAUGUUCUGUACACUACGGCAAACAUCCCUUCCCAAUGACUCGGUAGAAAAACCCAGUCAAUGGAUAGUUAAGGGCAACUUUAGGGAUAAGCAUUUGGCCAAAGCUAUACAUUAUGUUAUGCUCAAAUAUUCGUAGAUUUCACAGGUGUCUUCAAUAGCAACAGGGGGAGAUAAUGAAGAAACAGGUAAACAAUUAUAUGGUGUGAUAUUCGAAUCCUUGCAGAAAAAAGUUCCACCACACAACAUAACAGCAAUUAUGGCGCUGGUAAAGGUGGUGAAAAUCAACACACUAUAUCCGUAUUUUAUAGUAUAAAA